AUGUGUGUGUAUGCAUAUCUUUGUGUUUAUAUAUGUAUAUGUGUGUGUGUGUGUGUGUGUGUGUGUAUAUAUAUAUAUAUAUAUACACACACACACACACACACAUACAUAC
rnacentral:miRNA from 11 species